rnacentral:rRNA from 1 species
UACAGAGGGUGCAAGCGUUGUUCGGAAUUAUUGGGCGUAAAGGGCGCGUAGGCGGUGCCACAAGUCACCUGUGAAAUCUCCGGGCUUAACUCGGAGCCUGCAGGCGAAACUGUGGUGCUGGAGUGUGGGAGAGGGUGCGUGGAAUUCCCGGUGUAGCGGUGAAAUGCGUAGAUAUCAGGAGGAACACCUGUGGCGAAAGCGGCGCACUGGACCACAACUGACGCUGAGGCGCGAAAGCUAGGGGAGCAAACAGG